rnacentral:rRNA from 1 species
GAGCUUGCUCAGAUAUGACGAUGGACAUUGCAAAGAGUGGCGAACGGGUGAGUAACACGUGGGAAACCUACCUCUUAGCAGGGGAUAACAUUUGGAAACAGAUGCUAAUACCGUAUAACAAUAGCAACCGCAUGGUUGCUACUUAAAAGAUGGUUCUGCUAUCACUAAGAGAUGGUCCCGCGGUGCAUUAGUUAGUUGGUGAGGUAAUGGCUCACCAAGACGAUGAUGCAUAGCCGAGUUGAGAGACUGAUCGGCCACAAUGGGACUGAGACACGGCCCAUACUCCUACGGGAGGCAGCAGUAGGGAAUCUUCCACAAUGGGCGAAAGCCUGAUGGAGCAACGCCGCGUGUGUGAUGAAGGGUUUCGGCUCGUAAAACACUGUUGUAAGAGAAGAAUGACAUUGAGAGUAACUGUUCAAUGUGUGACGGUAUCUUACCAGAAAGGAACGGCUAAAUACGUGCCAGCAGCCGCGGUAAUACGUAUGUUCCAAGCGUUAUCCGGAUUUAUUGGGCGUAAAGCGAGCGCAGACGGUUAUUUAAGUCUGAAGUGAAAGCCCUCAGCUCAACUGAGGAAUUGCUUUGGAAACUGGAUGACUUGAGUGCAGUAGAGGAAAGUGGAACUCCAUGUGUAGCGGUGAAAUGCGUAGAUAUAUGGAAG